GGGCCCGCACAAGCAGUGGAGCAUGUGGUUUAAUUCGAUGCAACGCGAAGAACCUUACCCAGGCUUGACAUGCAGUAGACAGUACCAGAGAUGGUAUCUUCCUUCGGGACUGCUGCACAGGUGCUGCA
rnacentral:rRNA from 1 species